AUACGGAGGAUCCAAGCGUUAUCCGGAAUCAUUGGGUUUAAAGGGUCCGUAGGCGGUCUUAUAAGUCAGUGGUGAAAGCCCAUCGCUCAACGAUGGAACUGCCAUUGAUACUGUAGGACUUGAAUUUUUGUGAAGUAACUAGAAUAUGUAGUGUAGCGGUGAAAUGCUUAGAUAUUACAUGGAAUACCAAUUGCGAAGGCAGGUUACUAACAAACGAUUGACGCUGAUGGACGAAAGCGUGGGGAGCGAACAGGAUUAGAUACCCUGGUAGUCCACGCCGUAAACGAUGGAUACUAGCUGUUUGGAGCAAUCUGAGUGGCUAAGCGAAAGUGAUAAGUAUCCCACCUGGGGAGUACGCACGCAAGUGUGAA
rnacentral:rRNA from 1 species